AUUGAACGCUGGCGGCAUGCCUUACACAUGCAAGUCGAACGGCAGCACGGGUGCUUGCACCUGGUGGCGAGUGGCGAACGGGUGAGUAAUACAUCGGAACAUGUCCUGUAGUGGGGGAUAGCCCGGCGAAAGCCGGAUUAAUACCGCAUACGAUCUACGGAUGAAAGCGGGGGACCUUCGGGCCUCGCGCUAUAGGGUUGGCCGAUGGCUGAUUAGCUAGUUGGUGGGGUAAAGGCCUACCAAGGCGACGAUCAGUAGCUGGUCUGAGAGGACGACCAGCCACACUGGGACUGAGACACGGCCCAGACUCCUACGGGAGGCAGCAGUGGGGAAUUUUGAACAAUGGGCGAAAGCCUGAUCCAGCAAUGCCGCGUGUGUGAAGAAGGCCUUCGGGUUGUAAAGCACUUUUGUCCGGAAAGAAAUCCUUGGCCCUAAUACGGUCGGGGGAUGACGGUACCGGAAGAAUAAGCACCGGCUAACUACGUG
rnacentral:rRNA from 1 species